rnacentral:rRNA from 1 species
AGUGAACGCUGGCGGUAGGCCUAACACAUGCAAGUCGAACGGCAGCACAGAGGAGCUUGCUCCUUGGGUGGCGAGUGGCGGACGGGUGAGGAAUACAUCGGAAUCUGCUCUGUCGUGGGGGAUAACGUAGGGAAACUUACGCUAAUACCGCAUACGAACUACGGGUGAAAGCAGGGGAUCUUCGGACCUUGCGCGAUUGAAUGAGCCGAUGUCGGAUUAGCUAGUUGGCGGGGUAAAGGCCCACCAAGGCGACGAUCCGUGCGCUGGUCUGAGAGGAUGAUCAGCCACACUGGAACUGAGACACGGUCCAGACUCCUACGGGAGGCAGCAGUGGGGAAUAUUGGACAAUGGGCGCAAGCCUGAUCCAGCCAUACCGCGUGGGUGAAGAAGGCCUUCGGGUUGUAAAGCCCUUUUGUUGGGAAAGAAAUCCAUCUGGUUAAUACCCGGGUGGGAUGACGGUACCCAAAGAAUAAGCACCGGCUAACUUCGUGCCAGCAGCCGCCGCCG